rnacentral:lncRNA from 1 species
AGCAAAGGAAAAAGAUCUGUAAAAAAAAUCUUAAUACUGAGAUUCUGACUGUGAAUGAAAGGCAGAGAAGAUCGAAGGAGAAGGUUAGGGAUAAAUCCAAGGACAGAUUAAAGUCUCGGGAUCAGAAAAAAAUUUUGAAGUGUUACAAGUGCCAUCAGACUGGACACUUGAAAAGGAAUUGUCUCCUUUAAAAAUCAAAAAAGAUGAAGGCCAGCAAGAGUGAAGACACUACAUCUGUAAGUAGUGGAGAUGAUAUACUGUUGGUA